rnacentral:lncRNA from 1 species
CGGAGACCCCCAAGUAGGGAAAUUGGGGCAAAACGCGGAGCGCUCCAGGCUCCUACGGGCUGUGCGGUGCCAGGGCUCGACUGCUGAGCGUCGUGGGCUCCGAGAGGGACGCGGGCGGAGGGCAAAGAGCGUCAGAUCAGGAUUGCUGAAGGAGAGCUGAGAAUGAAACCACCAUUUAUUCAGCACUCAGAAUGCUCCAGGCAGUGUAAUCUCAUUCCAUCUUCAUUCAUGACUCCAGACAGGUAUGGCCACCAGUGCUCCAGAUUUACAUUCUAUUUACCUCACAACCCCAGUGGAAAAAGAAUAUCUCUUUCCUGAUUGGUCCAGCAGAAAUCUUGGUAUUAACUCUGACUGCC